rnacentral:rRNA from 1 species
AUUGAACGCUGGCGGCAGGCCUAACACAUGCAAGUCGAGCGGAUGAAGGGAGCUUGCUCCUGGAUUCAGCGGCGGACGGGUGAGUAAUGCCUAGGAAUCUGCCUGGUAGUGGGGGAUACCGUCCGGAAACGGGCGCUAAUACCGCAUACGUCCUGAGGGAGAAAGUGGGGGAUCUUCGGACCUCACGCUAUCAGAUGAGCCUAGGUCGGAUUAGCUAGUUGGUGGGGUAAAGGCCUACCAAGGCGACGAUCCGUAACUGGUCUGAGAGGAUGAUCAGUCACACUGGAGCUGAGACACGGUACAGACUCCUACGGGAGGCAGAAGUGGGGAAUAUUGGACGAUGGGCGAAAGCCUGAUCCAGCCAUGCCGCGUGUGUGAAGAAGGUCUUCGGAUUGUAAAGCACUUUAAGUUGGGAGGAAGGGCAGUAAGUUAAUACCUUGCUGUUUUGACGUUACCAACAGAAUAAGCACCGGCUAACUUCGUG